rnacentral:rRNA from 1 species
AUUGAACGCUGGCGGCGUGCUUAACACAUGCAAGUCGAGCGGUAAGGCCCUUUCGGGGGUACGACGAGCGGCGAACGGGUGAGUAACACGUGGGUGACCUGCCCUCAGCUCUGGGAUAAGCCUGGGAAACCGGGGUCUAAUACUGGAUAUGACUCCAUGACGCAUGUUGUGGGGUGGAAAGCCUUGUGCGGCUGAGGAUGGGCCCGCGGCCUAUCAGCUUGUUGGUGGGGUGAUGGCCUACCAA